UCUCAUGUUGUUGCUUUUAUCAUUAUGAAUUCCUUGCUUGUUGCCACCUAAGAUACGAUGGAGCAAGCACAAUCUUAAAGAAGAUUUGCUGAUUUUUUGUUUUUCUCAGCAGACCAGAGACAUCCAUAAAAAUUCUUCAGAGGGUGUUUUACUACUGAGCUGCAAAGGGAAAAACUUAAAAUGGAUAUGAAAAGUGAAGAAAGUGAUCAUAGGAGAAAACCAUUUCAGAUGACAAGAGCACCUCAAAGGCAGCAGCCUCAAGAAGCAGCCAUGGCCCCAGAGUUGUCCCACGGAUGCAGAAAACUUAAUGGAGGAGGCUGAGGUCAGAAUGGGAAGAGUUUUUAAAAAGUAAAAAGGGGAGCUAAUAUGUGA
rnacentral:lncRNA from 1 species